CAUCAAGCCGCCGUCGAUCCCUGCGCUACUACGGGAGCCGCCGCCGAUCCCAUCGAGGAGCCGCCGCCGAUGACGGGAGACGCCGCCUAUCCCGUUGAGGAGCCGCCGCCGAUGACGGGAGACGCCGCACGCUGACCUACCCCCUCCCCAAUCCCUAGCAUCGCACCUCUUCCCGUCUGGCGCCUCCUACCUCGGCAGGGCGGUGGCCUCGAGUGCCUCUUCUUCCCCAAUGCGGCCUCAACCAACGACGCUGCACCCCGGUGAUGACUCCGCCCCACGAUUCCCAUCGGUCGGCGCCUCGCCAGCAGUGACCUCCCCCUCCAUGUAUCCUGUGAUCCGGUCGUGCGCCACCGCCUCUCCAGGCGCUUAGAUCCAGGCUUCCAGCAGGGGAUAGGGGUGGAGGCGGCAGCGGAGGGGACAGGGAUGUGGACCGGAGAAACUACAUGGUGGAGGCACAACAAAGCGUUCAAGCACGGCACCCCAUCGCAUGCAGCUGCAGCCAGCGGCAGGUGUUGGGCACUUUGAGGUAUGCAAACCUUCUCAGAGCAAGGGGAGCAAGAGUACCGGUACUGCAUUUCUUAUCUUCAUCACUCAAAAUUCCCAGAACUAAUCGUGAGCUCUUGCUUUGAUACAGAACUAAUCUUGAAGGUCAUAGCCCUGUUUCUUCCCUGUUUUAGAUCAAUCGUUCUUCUUUCUUCCUUGGAGCUCCACUGUUUUGGAUGAACUGGACUAACCCUAGAAGGGAUGAAGGUCAUCCACGAGGUGUCUCAAGGUGAACCCCGUGGUACCCGACCAAGUGGCUGGAGGGAAUGGUGUAUGCUCACAAGUUUGUACAGACCAAUUUGUUUCACUCGGACAAGAAUCCCACGAACCUUAAUGUGGCCUUUAAGUUUCAGGUCCUUGGGGUUGGAUGCGGCAACUCGCGGCUCGAAGACAAUCUUUUGUGGUGGGGCGUCGCCGCCGCCGGCGGCUCCUGCAUAGACCGUAUCGCUGGGAACGAAGAGACGCUCCCCUGAUUUGGAGCUGUAGAAAGGAAGUGGUUGCAGACACAAAGUGGGGACACACAACUCCCAGUCAUAAUAUUCUUUAUCUUGGCUCGUUGUUUGGGGAUGGACGCAUCAAUCUGAUGGCGCUCUCCUCCAUGCCAAACGGAUCCUUGGUUCGGAGGCGCGCGGCGCCGACGAUGACAACCUUUCUAUCGACGCAAGGGCAGCAGGAGCUCAUGACGCUGUUGAUGCCACCACCAUGCAUGGGGUUGAUGCAAGGUGGGACAAUGCGAUCACUAAUGGGGAGAACAUAAAACUUCAAUUGAGGGCACUGUAAUUCUCUAGCUACAUGUAUCAUGGUCACCAACCACACAUGUAAAAACCAUGUCUCCCUACUGUAAUUUGAUGAUUUAUUUACAUGUGGCACAGAAUAGUUCAGAGUUCACUCCGAGAAAGAAUUGCUUUGCAUGUACAUUUGCUAAAAGACGGAUGUGCUGAACUUUCGACUGUUCCGAUUGGUCGCUGACAUAACCUUUCCUCUUUUCAUUGAUAGGUCCAAAAGAGAUCCUUAUUUCACCUUUGUUUAUAGGUAUUCAACGUGAGGAAUUUUAUACUUUUGGAGUGGAGCUAUCAAAUAUAUAUUAUGAGUUUCUAAAACAUCUAUUAUAAGGAGUUGAACAGAGCUUCCUCUGCCCCGGCAGAUUCAGAGAAAACCAACCAGCAGAGAACAUGAACAAAUAUAGUGACGAGAAAGGGUGGAGCUGAGUACACCACACAUGGAUAUGAUGGUCUCCCCUAUGUUCUUUUUGGCAAUCCACUUAAUCACUGACUCAACUUUGUAUGGGUGAGCUAACAAGCCCGUGUUAUGUCUUCCCUCUUUCUUUGGCGCUUCCGAUGCACAAAUGGUGGCGGUGAAGCAGCAGGCCCGAGAGAGCGUGCAGGGGAGGAAGGAGUUCCUGGUGGAGGUGCUGAUACUGGCGGUGCUCAGCCACCCUAACUUCGUCAGCCUGAUCGGCUUCUGCGCGCAGGGGA